CCCCGGACUAACAAGAAGGAAAAUGUCAAUCAGUUUUUCUUUUGUUCUUUCCAGAUCCUGUUCAAGUGUACACUGAGCCAGCAGGUUCACCAGAAAGCUAUUGAGCCUUUGCAGGAACACAUUAUGCUGGGUGGAUUUCUUCUGGAUUGUUGCCAAGGGUUUUUUAUGCUUCUGUGUGGGCAUGGGAUUUGGCCAGUUCAAGAUGCGACAUAAUAAAGGAGACCUCAAGGCAAACACAUGCAGACAGCCUGCUCAGAGUGGAAAGGGCUGCAGAAGGAGGACUUACUGAACUCAGGACAGCAUCUCAUUUCUGCAUAUGCAAAAAGAAAAAGAAGAAGGAGAAGGAGAAGAAGAAAAUAACUCGCCGUCCCACACGAUAUCACAGGGUAUUGUGGCAUCAUCGCUGGGCUACUGUACACAGACAUGCUCUAGGAAGUGGCAAAUUCCCUUAGGAUUAUAACGUGCCACACGGCACAAAGGGAAAGAAGGGUCUGAACUUAGCUGAAGGAGGCCACUUACCAUGUCAUGAGUCACUCUGCGAAGAAGGCUACUUGUCAAAUAUCUGAAGCCUCCUGCCAGCAGCUACACAAAUGAAAUGCUGAACAUUCCCAUUAUACUGACUUCCUUAAAUUCUGCGCUUUAUCCUGUUGAAGAGAGUUAGAGAUGCUGAUGCUUGGUGGAAACACCCUCAGGAACAUGUCAGUGGCUGUGGUUAGCUGGACUCAGACCCGACCUGGCUGACAGAUGGAAAUAACUUUCCU